UGAGGAAUAUUGCACAAUGGGCGAAAGCCUGAUGCAGCAACGCCGCGUGAGUGAUGAAGGCCUUAGGGUUGUAAAGCUCUGUCUUCUGGGACGAUAAUGACGGUACCAGAGGAGGAAGCCACGGCUAACUACGUGCCAGCAGCCGCGGUAAUACGUAGGUGGCAAGCGUUGGCCGGAUUUACUGGGCGUAAAGGAUGCGUAGGCGGAUAUUUAAGUGAGAUGUGAAAUUCCCGGGCUUAACUUGGGAGCUGCAUUUCAAACUGGGUAUCUAGAGUGUGGGAGAGGAAAGUGGAAUUCCUAGUGUAGCGGUGAAAUGCGUAGAGAUUAGGAAGAACCCCAGUGGCGAAGGCGACUUUCUGGACCAUAACUGACGCUGAGGCAUGAAAGCGUGGGGAGCAAACA
rnacentral:rRNA from 1 species